CCACUUGCUCACCUGUUUUGCUUUUUUUUUUCAACAGUAACACGUGUUUUGCUUUUUUUCCAAAACAACAACACGUCUUCUCUUUCUUAAAGCACUAAAACAGCUUUUAAUUCCUUCAUUUCACACUUUCGUGCACUUUCUCCCCCCUAUUUUGUUACCCUCUUGAGUUUCUUCCUCAUUCACUGAACUUUUUGUGAAUAUUUUUGCAUUUUUAUCGUAUUAUGUUUGCCAAGUUUUUGUUUUUGUUUUGUUUUAACGUGUUUGUGAGUUUUCUAACAUUUUUCCCUUCCUUAAUGGUGUUUUAUUUUGUCUGCAGAACAAGAUGCAGGGUAUCAGGCGCAUGGAUGCUGCCCUGGACGCAAUGCGUCCACUUGGAUUUAGGACACAACUGAUUCUACGAACGGUUAAUGAGCUUCUCGAUGUUGGUUAAGUCUUUUCUUAAUUCAUUGUGAUUUUAAGUUAAUUUCUGUUGUUAGGGAUUGAGGGACCAAAAAGCCUAGGUUUGCAUACUCUAUAUGAUUGUCGUGCAUGCACUAUUUAUGAUGCAAUGUUCUAUGGAAAUUGGAUUAAGUGUGUGGAUUUGGGCAAAGUUUUUGGUUAGAAUCGCGUGUUUGAUGAGCUUAUGUUUACCUUAUUAUUUUUAUACCAUAGGGUGGAGGGAAAAAAAACUAGUCAAUACUAAAGGCAUGUUAAGGGCUGCAGGUAUGGUAUCAAUCUGGCUAAAGGUAUUCUGGAACAUCACUCGAAAGGGAUCCUAGAUUUUGACAAACCAAGGAAAUUGCUCGUAGAUUUUCGAAUUGGCAAGCUCAUCACAGGUAAUAUACAUAGGUUGCAGGUUUCUAAUUAGCAUUUUAGGAUAACUUUUUUUUUCCCAUUUUUGAUUAAUUAAAAUCAUUCAGAUUGAUAAUUCACAUUUUCUGAUCAUGUUCAUUAGGACAUUUAUUGGUUGCAGGUUAUGUGUUUGAUCAAAUGUCAAGAUGAUAUUUUUGGGCAUGUCAUCAGGAAAAAGUUCAGUGACAAGUUUCCAGGGAUCACCUGUACCUGCAGGACUAAUGGAGGGUGGUCUGAUUGAUGUUCAACAAUUUUCACUCAAAGCUUUGCUUCUAUAAGAAUUCCGACAAGAAAUAAUUCACUCUCAUAAUAUCCGGCUGCACCAAUGGGGAAGGACAUGCAGCAAUGGUUCUUGGCAUGCCAAGAACAGCAAUCACUUUAAACAAAAAAAUAUAUUUGUGCUGGCAAUCACAUGGAGUUUGGAUACAUUGGUUUGCAGAUUCCACAUCAAUACAAUUCACAAUUUCAUUGUCCAUAGCUGGAGAUUUAAAUGUAACCACAUGAUGUUAAAAGCUGUGCAUGCACAAUAGUACACUAAUUUGUUUAAAAUGUGGUAUAUAUUGAAUCAAAUAAACAAUUAUUUCAGCAUACUAGCAUUAUAGAUUCUGCAGUAUGUUCAAGUUA